rnacentral:lncRNA from 1 species
UUACUUAUGUUUUAUGAGAAAUGUAUUUCAUAUUUUGAACAUAACAUGUUGUUGAAAUGUAAGUUGAGCUAUCCAAUGUAUAUGGAUAUUUAGUUAUGAUGUAAGACUUUGUAUAGUCAUUUCGUUGUAACGAUUCAUGAUAUAAGAUUGAAUCAAAGAGAUGUAAUGUAAAGGUUGCGAUUCAGGGCAAGAAAGAAGGAAAUGUAUAAACGUUUUAAAUAUUCCACAAAUUUAGUGUUUUU